GACGAACGCUGGCGGCGUGCCUAAUACAUGCAAGUCGAACGCAGUGGGGACGGGUGCGUAACACGUGGCUAACCUACCAUCAGAGGGGAUAACCCUUGGAAACAGGUGCUAAACUGCUACUGAUGGAUGGACCCGCGGUGCAUCAGCUAGUUGGUGAGGUAGCGGCUCACCAAGGCUACGAUGCAUAGCCGACCUGAGAGGGUGAUCGGCCACACUGGGACUGAGACACGGCCCAGACUCCUACGGGAGGCAGCAGUAGGGAAUCUUCGGCAAUGGACGAAAGUCUGACCGAGCAACGCCGCGUGAGUGAAGAAGGUUUUCGGAUCGUAAAACUCUGUUGUUAGAGAAGCGGUAUCUAACCAGAAAGCCACGGCUAACUACGUGCCAGCAGCCGCGGUAAUAC
rnacentral:rRNA from 1 species